GUGAAUUUAGUUUAAAAGAUAAAACAUUUAAUUUGCAUUUAAAAACUUCAAGUUUAACCCCUGAAAUCCACA
rnacentral:tRNA from 1 species